UACGUAGGGUGCAAGCGUUAAUCGGAAUUACUGGGCGUAAAGCGUGCGUAGGCGGUUCGUUAAGUCAGUUGUGAAAGCCCCGGGCUCAACCUGGGAAUUGCGGUUGAAACUGGCGAACUAGAAUCUGGCAGAGGGGGGUGGAAUUCCACGUGUAGCAGUGAAAUGCGUAGAGAUGCGGAGGAACACCGAUGGCGAAGGCAGCCCCCUGGGCUGACACUGACGCUCAGGCACGAAAGCGUGGGGAGCAAACAGG
rnacentral:rRNA from 1 species